rnacentral:rRNA from 1 species
UACAUAGGGUGCAAGCGUUGUCCGGAAUUAUUGGGCGUAAAGAGCUCGUAGGUCGUUUGUUACGUCGGAUGUGAAAUCCUGAGGCUCAACCUCAGGCCUGCAUUCGAUACGGGCAAACUAGAGUUUGGUAGGGGAGACUGGAAUUCCUGGUGUAGCGGUGGAAUGCGCAGAUAUCAGGAGGAACACCAAUGGCGAAGGCAGGUCUCUGGGCCAAUACUGACACUGAGGAGCGAAAGUCUGGGGAGCGAACAGG